rnacentral:rRNA from 1 species
GGCAGCAGUAGGGAAUCUUCCGCAAUGGACGAAAGUCUGACGGAGCAACGCCGCGUGAGUGAUGAAGGUUUUCGGAUCGUAAAGCUCUGUUGUUAGGGAAGAACAAGUACCGUUCGAAUAGGGCGGUACCUUGACGGUACCUAACCAGAAAGCCACGGCUAACUACGUGCCAGCAGCCGCGGUAAUACGUAGGUGGCAAGCGUUNUCCGGAAUUAUUGGGCGUAAAGGGCUCGCAGGCGGUUUCUUAAGUCUGAUGUGAAAGCCCCCGGCUCAACCGGGGAGGGUCAUUGGAAACUGGGGAACUUGAGUGCAGAAGAGGAGAGUGGAAUUCC